rnacentral:rRNA from 1 species
GACAGAGGGUGCAAACGUUGUUCGGAAUUACUGGGCGUAAAGCGCACGUAGGCGGCGAUUCAAGUCAGAGGUGAAAGCCCGGGGCUCAACCCCGGAACUGCCUUUGAAACUAGAUUGCUAGAAUCCUGGAGAGGUGAGUGGAAUUCCGAGUGUAGAGGUGAAAUUCGUAGAUAUUCGGAAGAACACCAGUGGCGAAGGCGACUCACUGGACAGGUAUUGACGCUGAGGUGCGAAAGCGUGGGAGCAAACAGG